AUGACUGUACCCGAAUAAGAAGGUCCGGCUAACUUCGUGCCAGCAGCCGCGGUAAUACGAAGGGACCUAGCGUAGUUCGGAAUUACUGGGCUUAAAGAGUUCGUAGGUGGUUGAAAAAGUUAGUGGUGAAAUCCCAGAGCUUAACUCUGGAACUGCCAUUAAAACUUUUCAGCUAGAGUAUGAUAGAGGAAAGCAGAAUUUCUAGUGUAGAGGUGAAAUUCGUAGAUAUUAGAAAGAAUACCAAUUGCGAAGGCAGCUUUCUGGAUCAUUACUGACACUGAGGAACGAAAGCAUGGGUAGCGAAGAGGAUUAGAUACCCUCGUAGUCCAUGCCGUAAACGAUGUGUGUUAGACGUUGGAAAUUUAUUUUCAGUGUCGCAGCGAAAGCGAUAAACACACCGCCUGGGGAGUACGACCGCAAGGUUAAAACUCAAAUGAAUUGACGGGGACCCGCACAAGUAGUGGAGCAUGUGGUUUAAUUCGAAGAUACGCGCAGAACCUUACCAACACUUGACAUGUUCGUCGCGACUCUAAGAGAUUAGAGUUUUCGGUUCGGCCGGACGAAACACAGGUGCUGCAUGGCUGUCGUCAGCUCGUGUCGUGAGAUGUUGGGUUAAGUCCCGCAACGAGCGCAACCCUCACUUUUAGUUGCCAUCAUUAAGUUGGGCACUCUGAAAGAACUGCCAGUGAUAAGCUGGAGGAAGGUGGGGAUGACGUCAAGUCCUCAUGGCCCUUACGUGUUGGGCUACACACGUGCUACAAUGGUAUCUACAACAGGAAGCAAGACUGCGAGGUCAAGCAAAUCCUUAAAAGAUACCUCAGUUCGGAUUGCACUCUGCAACUCGAGUGCAUGA
rnacentral:rRNA from 1 species